UGAGGAAUAUUGGUCAAUGGGCGAGAGCCUGAACCAGCCACGUCGCGUGAAGGAAGACUGACCUUACGGUUUGUAAACUUCUUUUGUAGAGGGGUAAUGGCAGAUACGUGUAUUUGCGUGAAAGUACUCUACGAAUAAGCAUCGGCUAACUCCGUGCCAGCAGCCGCGGUAAUACGGGGGAUGCGAGCGUUAUCCGGAAUUAUUGGGUUUAAAGGGUGCGCAGGUGGCUAAUCAGGUCAGUGGUGAAAAGCUAUGGCUCAACCAUGGUCUUGCCAUUGAAACCGUAUAGCUAGAGAGGAGACGAGGUAGGCGGAAUGUGUGGUGUAGCGGUGAAAUGCAUAGAUACCACACAGAACUCCGAUUGCGAAGGCAGCUUACCAGGCUUUAUCUGACACUUAGGCACGACAGCGUGGGGAUCAAACAGG
rnacentral:rRNA from 1 species